AGAGUUUGAUCCUGGCUCAGGAUGAACGCUGGCGGCGUGCUUAACACAUGCAAGUCGAACGGAGACAUAUUUUGAAGUUUUCGGAUGGAAAGAUAUGUUCUUAGUGGCGGACGGGUGAGUAAUGUAUGAGCAACCUGCCUUUAAGAGGGGGACAACAGUUGGAAACGACUGCUAAUACCGCAUAAUACGAAUUUGUCGCAUGACAGAUUUGUCAAAGGAGCAAUCCGCUUAAAGAUGGGCUCAUA
rnacentral:rRNA from 1 species